rnacentral:rRNA from 1 species
GACAGAGGGUGCAAACGUUGCUCGGAAUUACUGGGCGUAAAGCGAGUGUAGGCGGUUUGAUAAGUCGGAUGUGAAAGCCCCGGGCUCAACCCGGGAAGUGCACUCGAUACUGUCAAGCUGGAGUAUCGGAGAGGUUGGUGGAAUUCUCGGUGUAGAGGUGAAAUUCGUAGAUAUCGAGAGGAACACCGGUGGCGAAGGCGGCCAACUGGACGAAUACUGACGCUGAGACUCGAAAGCGUGGGGAGCAAACAGG